AUCAAAUUUUAAUCUUUUAUUUUUAUUUUUAGUAUCGUUUUCAGAUAAAAUAUCGUUAAAGUCUCCUCCGAUUAUUAGUUGUCCAAGACUAUAUUUAUCUAUAAAAGUUUUAACCGUUUUAAAAAAAGUGUUUCUUAGCUUAGUAUUAUUUGGUGCAUAAACGUUUGCAAUUGUAAGUAUGCUUUCGUCAAUUUCUAUAUUUACCAGAAGAAGUCUUCCA
rnacentral:lncRNA from 1 species